rnacentral:rRNA from 1 species
UUCUGUCGCAGGUUGAGGAUUGGAGCUGCAGCCCCGAGCAGGCCACCGUGUCCAAACCGCAUCAGCGCGUUUGAGAAGGCAGUACGGAGUUUUGCUGAGAAUCCUACGGAGAAUGUUAUCACGCCAGUUAUCGGCACAACAUUCGACUCGGUGGGUGAGGCUUACGACUUCUACAAUUUGUACUCCUAUGAGAAGGGAUUUGGCAUUCGUUAUGGCAAAAGCAGGUUAAAUGUGGAGAGGACAAAAUGCAUGCAGGAGAUAGUUUGUGGUUGCUCAGGAAAAGCAGGUGCCGAGAACACAAGAUCUUGUCGUUGUGAGUGUCCUGCUCUAAUUAGGCUGCUACGAGCAGAGGACAAAGGAUGGUAUAUUGCGGAGCAUAGGGAUACGCACAACCACUCGUUGUCGCCUAAUUGCGGUGAGACAAUCCACUGGCCAUCACACAAACACAUUGAUGUGUACACCAGAGAUCUUGUGAAGCAGUUGAGGCAGAACAAUGUGAAUUUGGCAAAGGUGUACAACAUCGUUGGUUUUUUUUUUGGAUCGAUGGAAAAUGUUCCGUUCACAAAGAGGUCUUUGCGUAAUCUAUGUGGUAAGAUAAACAGGGACCAUGCAGAGGAUGAUGUGAAGAAGACAAUUGAUGUGUUUGCUGAGAUAGGGGAUAAAGAUCCACACUUCACGUACAGGGUUCAGUCUGACAACGAGGGAAGGAUCAAGAAUCUGAUGUGGGCAACCAGGAGCAGUAGGUUGCAGUACUCAUUUUUUGGGGAUGUCAUCACUUUUGACACAACUUACCGAACAAACCUGUACGACAUGCCUUUUGGCUUGUUUGUUGGCGUGAACAACCACUUCCAGAGUGUGCUCCUGGCGGGAGUCCUUGUGCGUGAUAAAACCGAAGAUAGUUUUGUAUGGGUCUUCUCAGAAUUCCUCCGAAUGAUGGAUGGCUCUCCACCUGUGACCAUACUAACAGGUAAUUUCCUCCCAUAUGUUGUGAAAUACUGA